rnacentral:lncRNA from 14 species
GGUGGUUUGUCUUGGUCUGUCAUCACAUCAACACAGUCAGUGGACUCUGGUGAUGCUUGGGAGCAGCUGGUGAGGAGCUGAUGGGGCUGGUGUGUGAGUCACUGCAUGGAUGUGCAAUGAUCUUGCCUUGAGCUUCCAGUCAACAAUGUGAUAGGGAUGCAGAAAAACAGGCAGUGAGGCAGAGGAUGACACUGCAGUAAGAAAGCACAGGAGAAGGAAUUAAAACAAGGGCUGGAGAAAUUUGGCAACCAGAAGAUUCAUGGUAAAAUUGCUUGUUGACUGUCUUGAUCAGUGCCCCAAAAGAGACAGAAACAGGACAGAUCAGCAGAGCUGUGAUAGGCCAUGACAGCAACAAGCUGAAUACUGGUUUUGGAGGAAGGAGAAAUGAAUCUGUCCAUUAUGUAUAUGAUGGGAAGCAGUGAUACAGUGAGCAACAGAUACACUGGUUGUGAUCAAGGGUUUGUAGUUUCAAGAGAAUGACUUUCAACUUGGUUUCAUAGAAGUGGGCUGGUGUAGAUAGGGCUACAGCUUUAAGGGAGGGUGGGGAAGCUGUUCAGAGGUGAUCCUCAUGGGCAGAGCAAUGAGCUUGGAAUGAAGUCAGCUGUUGAGCAAAGCAGUUGGCCAUUGAAUCAUCCAUAACACCUGGUGCAAAGGAACCAGCAGUUUCAUGCAGAAGCUACUGAAGGGGAUGUCUUCAUUUUCCUCCAUGCAGGUUCUCUGCUGAGCUGAUUGGUAAAAUCAGCAUUGCUGUUACAAGAUUUCAGCCUCUGCAGACCUGCCUACAGUCAGAAACGCAACAGACCAAUCUGCAGUGUGACUCCCGUGUGAAGACCUGGGAUUGUCAAGUGUGGAGACAACAGAAGUGGCUGGCUCCUGGGACAGUCCUUCAGCCAUGGUCCUUCAGAGAGAGGAGGGAGGCAGGCAGCCAGACCUGCUCAUUCAGCUGUGAGGGAGCUAAAGGUUGGAGACACUUACGACCAAUGGAUCUGUGAAGACAGACACAUAAGUGCAAAUAUCCCCUGUCCUACUACUGCAAAGGGCAAUAAAAGCUGCUAUCCACCC